rnacentral:rRNA from 1 species
GAUGAACGCUGGCGGCGUGCCUAAUACAUGCAAGUCGAGCGAACAGACGAGGAGCUUGCUCCUCUGACGUUAGCGGCGGACGGGUGAGUAACACGUGGAUAACCUACCUAUAAGACUGGGAUAACUUCGGGAAACCGGAGCUAAUACCGGAUAAUAUAUUGAACCGCAUGGUUCAAUAGUGAAAGACGGUUUUGCUGUCACUUAUAGAUGGAUCCGCGCCGCAUUAGCUAGUUGGUAAGGAAACGGCUUACCAAGGCAACGAUGCGUAGCCGACCUGAGAGGGUGAUACGCCACACUGGAACUGAGACACGGUCCAGACUCCUACGGGAGGCAGCAGUAGGGAAUCUUCCGCAAUGGGCGAAAGCCUGACGGAGCAACGCCGCGUGAGUGAUGAAGGUCUUCGGAUCGUAAAACUCUGUUAUUAGGGAAGAACAAAUGUGUAAGUAACUAUGCACGUCUUGACGGUACCUAAUCAGAAAGCCACGGCUAGCUACGUG